UAUCCGUAGGUGAACCUGCGGAUGGAUCAUUAACACAAAAAAUCCCAAAAUGAGAGGGAAACCUCUUGUUUAACCCCACUUUUAAUUAGCGAACUCGUCAACGGCGGUUUUGCUGGACUCCUAGUUGGUUUGGAGUCAACUUUAAAAGGCGACCACCGUUCGUUUUUUUUUCACUUUUUCACUUUUUUACCUUUAAAACCCCAAUCAAUUCUAAUUUAGACUGAAAAAUAAUCUCUUCUUUUUUUUUGGCUUAACAACCAAAAGAAAAAGAGACUUUUGAAAUAAUUAAUGUACAACUCUUAACAACGGAUAUCUUGGCUCUC
rnacentral:misc_RNA from 1 species